CGCGCGCAGCGUGGAGGCGGCGGCGAGAGCCCGCGGGCUUGCGCGAGGCGGCGGCGGCCAAGGGCGUGGGGGCGGCACGCGUCGGCCUCGUCGAGGGCAGGCGGGCGGCCGCGUAUUAGUACCUCAAGGCGCUGCGGCGGUGGCGGGCCAAGGCCUACAUCUACUCCAGCGGAAGCAGGGAGGUCCAGCGCCUCAUCUUCGCCAACACCGCUGCAGCAGGGAGACUGUAGGCCUUGAGGUGCUAAUAUCUGUCAGGCCUAUCCAGGAGGUAGCCAGCCGGCGGCAACGGCUGUUCCACGCCGACAUGUGAUGUGUGCAAUUAUGUCUGUAGACACUAAGUAAUGUUUAUCGUCGAUGACUUAUAUGUACCGUGGCUUAUCUGUAUGAGACACUUUGUAAUGCUUGCUAUAUACUCCCUCCAUUUUAAAAUGUUUGACACGGUUGACUUUUUAGUAUAUGUUUGACCAUUCGUCUUAUUAAAAAAAUUUAAGUAAUUAUUUAUUUUUUUCAUAUCAUUUGAUUCACUGUUAAAUAUAUUUUCAUGUACAUAUAGUUUUACAUAUUUUACAAAUAUUUUUGAAUAAGACGAACGGUUAAACAUGUGCUAAAAAGUCAACGGUGUCAAACAUUUUGAAACGGAGGAAGUAUGUGGCUUGUGCUAGUUGUGCCAAAAUUCUGUCCAAA